rnacentral:rRNA from 1 species
GACGAACGCUGGCGGCGUGCCUAAUACAUGCAAGUAGAACGCUGAAGGAGGAGCUUGCUUCUCUGGAUGAGUUGCGAACGGGUGAGUAACGCGUAGGUAACCUGCCUGGUAGCGGGGGAUAACUAUUGGAAACGAUAGCUAGUACCGCAUAAGAGUAGAUGUUGCAUGACAUUUGCUUAAAAGGUGCAAUUGCAUCACUACCAGAUGGACCUGCGUUGUAUUAGCUAGUUGGUGGGGUAACGGCUCACCAAGGCGACGAUACAUAGCCGACCUGAGAGGGUGAUCGGCCACACUGGGACUGAGACACGGCCCAGACUCCUACGGGAGGCAGCAGUAGGGAAUCUUCGGCAAUGGACGGAAGUCUGACCGAGCAACGCCGCGUGAGUGAAGAAGGUUUUCGGAUCGUAAAGCUCUGUUGUAAGAGAAGAACGAGUGUGAGAGUGGAAAGUUCACACUGUGACGGUAUCUUACCAGAAAGGGACGGCUAACUACGUG